UACGUAGGGGGCAAGCGUUAUCCGGAUUUAUUGGGCGUAAAGGGCUCGUAGGCGGUUCGUCGCGUCCGGUGUGAAAGUCCAUCGCUUAACGGUGGAUCCGCGCCGGGUACGGGCGGGCUUGAGUGCGGUAGGGGGAGACUGGAAUUCCCGGUGUAACGGUGGAAUGUGUAGAUAUCGGGAAGAACACCAAUGGCGAAGGCAGGUCUCUGGGCCGUUACUGACGCUGAGGAGCGAAAGCGUGGGGAGCGAACAGG
rnacentral:rRNA from 1 species